UACGGAGGAUGCGAGCGUUAUCCGGAUUUAUUGGGUUUAAAGGGUGCGUAGGCGGAUUUUUAAGUCAGUGGUGAAAUCUAGAGGCUUAACCUCUAAACUGCCAUUGAAACUGGGGAUCUUGAGUAUAGAUGAAGUAGGCGGAACUCGUUGUGUAGCGGUGAAAUGCAUAGAUAUAACGAAGAACCCCGAUUGCGUAGGCAGCUUACUAAACUAUAACUGACGCUGAAGCACGAAAGCGUGGGUAUCAAACAGG
rnacentral:rRNA from 1 species